rnacentral:rRNA from 1 species
UACGGAGGGUGCAAGCGUUAUCCGGAUUCACUGGGUUUAAAGGGUGCGUAGGCGGUUAGGUAAGUCAGUGGUGAAAUCUUCGAGCUUAACUCGGAAACUGCCUUUGAUACUAUCUAUCUUGAAUAUUGUGGAGGUAAGCGGAAUAUGUCAUGUAGCGGUGAAAUGCUUAGAUAUGACAUAGAACACCUAUUGCGAAGGCAGCUUACUACGCAUAUAUUGACGCUGAGGCACGAAAGCGUGGGGAUCAAACAGG